rnacentral:rRNA from 1 species
AUUGAACGCUGGCGGCAUGCCUUACACAUGCAAGUCGAACGGCAGCGGACCUUCGGGUGCCGGCGAGUGGCGAACGGGUGAGUAAUAUAUCGGAACGUACCUUUCAGUGGGGGAUAACGUAGCGAAAGUUACGCUAAUACCGCAUAUUCUGUGAGCAGGAAAGCAGGGGAUCGCAAGACCUUGCGCUGAUUGAGCGGCCGAUAUCAGAUUAGCUAGUUGGUGAGGUAAAGGCUCACCAAGGCGACGAUCUGUAGCGGGUCUGAGAGGAUGAUCCGCCACACUGGAACUGAGACACGGUCCAGACUCCUACGGGAGGCAGCAGUGGGGAAUUUUGGACAAUGGGCGCAAGCCUGAUCCAGCUAUGCCGCGUGAGUGAAGAAGGCCUCGGGUUG